GGGGAAUAUUGGGCAAUGGAGGGAACUCUUACCCAGCAAUGCCGCGUGAGCGAAGAAGGCCUUCGGGUUGUAAAGCUCUUUGAUUGGGGACGAAGCAAGUGACGGUACCCAAGGAACAAGUCCCGGCUAACUAUGUGCCAGCAGCCGCGGUAAUACAUAGGGGACUAGCGUUGUCCGGAAUUACUGGGCGUAAAGGGUGUGUAGGCGGUUUUUUAAGUUGGAAGUGUAAUACCCAGAGCUUAACUCGGGUGCUGCUUCCAAAACUGGAAGACUAGAGUAUGGGAGAGGAUAAUGGAAUUCCUAGUGUAGCGGUGGAAUGCAUAGAUAUUAGGAGGAACACCAGAGGCGAAAGCGAUUAUCUGGACCAUAACUGACGCUGAGGCACGAAAGCGUGGGGAGCGAAC
rnacentral:rRNA from 1 species